rnacentral:rRNA from 1 species
GAUGAACGCUGGCGGCGUGCCUAAUACAUGCAAGUCGAGCGAACGGACGAGAAGCUUGCUUCUCUGAUGUUAGCGGCGGACGGGUGAGUAACACGUGGAUAACCUACCUAUAAGACUGGGAUAACUUCGGGAAACCGGAGCUAAUACCGGAUAAUAUUUUGAACCGCAUGGUUCAAAAGUGAAAGACGGUCUUGCUGUCACUUAUAGAUGGAUCCGCGCUGCAUUAGCUAGUUGGUAAGGUAACGGCUUACCAAGGCAACGAUACAUAGCCGACCUGAGAGGGUGAUCGGCCACACUGGAACUGAGACACGGUCCAGACUCCUACGGGAGGCAGCAGUAGGGAAUCUUCCGCAAUGGGCGAAAGCCUGACGGAGCAGCGCCGCGUGAGUGAUGAAGGUCUUCGGAUCGUAAAACUCUGUUAUUAGGGAAGAACAUAUGUGUAAGUAACUGUGCACAUCUUGACGGUACCUAAUCAGAAAGCCACGGCUAACUACGUG